rnacentral:rRNA from 1 species
AACGAACGCUGGCGGCAGGCUUAACACAUGCAAGUCGAGCGCCCCGCAAGGGGAGCGGCAGACGGGUGAGUAACGCGUGGGGAUCUGCCUAGUGGUACGGAACAACUCAGGGAAACUUGAGCUAAUACCGUAUAAGUCCUUCGGGAGAAAGAUUUAUCGCCAUUAGAUGAACCCGCGUCUGAUUAGCUAGUUGGUGAGGUAAUGGCUCACCAAGGCGACGAUCAGUAGCUGGUCUGAGAGGAUGAUCAGCCACACUGGGACUGAGACACGGCCCAGACUCCUACGGGAGGCAGCAGUGGGGAAUAUUGGACAAUGGGCGCAAGCCUGAUCCAGCCAUGCCGCGUGAGUGAUGAAGGCCUUAGGGUUGUAAAGCUCUUUCGUUGGGGAAGAUAAUGACGGUACCCAAAGAAGAAGCCCCGGCUAACUUCGUGCCAGCCGCCGCGAAUAA